UACGUAGGGUCCAAGCGUUAAUCGGAAUUACUGGGCGUAAAGCGUGCGCAGGCGGUUCGUUAAGUCAGCUGUGAAAGCCCCGGGCUCAACCUGGGAAUUGCGGUUGAAACUGGCGAACUAGAAUCUGGCAGAGGGGGGUGGAGUUCCACGUGUAGCAGUGAAAUGCGUAGAGAUGUGGAGGAAUACCGAUGGCGAAGGCAGCCCCCUGGGAUGACACUGACGCUCAUGCACGAAAGCUUGGGGAGCAAACAGG
rnacentral:rRNA from 1 species